rnacentral:rRNA from 1 species
GAUGAACGCUGGCGGCGUGCCUAAUACAUGCAAGUCGAGCGAACGGACGAGAAGCUUGCUUUUCUGAUGUUAGCGGCGGACGGGUGAGUAACACGUGGAUAACCUACCUAUAAGACUGGGAUAACUUCGGGAAACCGGAGCUAAUACCGGAUAAUAUUUUGAACCGCAUGGUUCAAAAGUGAAAGACGGUCUUGCUGUCACUUAUAGAUGGAUCCGCGCUGCAUUAGCUAGUUGGUAAGGUAACGGCUUACCAAGGCAACGAUGCAUAGCCGACCUGAGAGGGUGAUCGGCCACACUGGAACUGAGACACGGUCCAGACACCUACGGGAGGCAGCAGUAGGGAAUCUUCCGCAAUGGGCGAAAGCCUGACGGAGCAACGCCGCGUGAGUGAUGAAGGUCUUCGGAUCGUAAAACUCUGUUAUUAGGGAAGAACAUAUGUGUAAGUAACUGUGCACAUCUUGACGGUACCUAAUCAGAAAGCCACGGCUAACUACGUG